rnacentral:rRNA from 1 species
AGUGAACGCUGGCGGUAGGCCUAACACAUGCAAGUCGAACGGCAGCACAGUACGUGCUCGCUGUUACGGGGGCGGACGGGCGGGUGGGGCCGAAGAACCUGGGAAUUUACUUUUUCUAGCGGCCGAAAGCGGGCACUCUUACCCCAUACGUGCUUAGGACGUACGGGGGAAAGCUUCGGACCUCCCGCCAUCAGAUGAUCCGAGGUCGGAUUAGCUAGUUGGUGGGGUAAAGGCCUACCAAGGCGACGAUCCGUAACUGGUCUGAGAGGAUGAUCAGCCACACUGGAACUGAGACACGGUCCAGACUCCUACGGGAGGCAGCAGUGGGGAAUAUUGGACAAUGGGCGCAAGCCUGAUCCAGCCAUGCCGCGUGUGUGAAGAAGGCCUUCGGAUUGUAAAGCCCUUUUGUUGGGAAAGAAGGGCAGCAGGUUAAUACCCCGCUGUUCUGACGGUACCCAAAGAAUAAGCACCGGCUAACUUCGUG